AUCAGCGGUUACUGCAGUUGCUUUGUCCUAAUAUUGAUGGAAAUCAGUUCAUUUUAAUUUUUUUUGAGAGAAAGUUGCCAGGCUGCUGUGGAGUCCAAAACCCCCUGGUCUUAGCCCCAGGUAAAAGCUGUCAAGCCGGACUGGAUACAAAGUUUGCAAGCCAUGAGUGGAACUACAAGUGUCCCUAAGACCCAAUGUCACGGCCACCCCUCACCUCCACCCUAUUCAGUUGACCAAAGUCAAUGAGGAAGGGCCAGAAAACAAACUCAAAAUGGGGAGCAGUCACCCCCAGUCACUUGGCCAAAGUGGUAGCUUGAGCCCUGCAGCAGACUACUGACGUGCCAGUGAACAGUGGGUUUCCUGACCCUUCGUCUCUUAGUUAUCUCUUUCUCCCCAUUAUUAGACAUUGGGAGUUGAUCCAGGAAUAUAAAUAUGACCUAUAACUAGCUUCAUUAAUAGCAAAUAGUGCAAAAUCUAGUUUUCAGGUCCAGGCAGAGUUUGGGGAAAUAGGCUCUGUCUUGGGUACUGCCAAACUCAAGUAGGUAGAGUGUUCUGAGCAUGCCCAUAGGAGGACAGGUGCCCUCUUACCUGCUGACACUGACCGUGGGUACAAAACACUUUAUACCAAGCCAACCUAGGUAGGCCCUUGACACCAACGCUGAGCCAUUCAUUGAGGCAGCCGUGUGGGGGACUACCAGUUGAAGCUGAUGAACUGAAGCAGAGUGUAAAUGAGGUUCAUGCUAGAUUUAUAAAGCUUCAGAAUUAAAUGUAACUGUGGCCUGCCAUUCCUAACGUAUCAAAAUGGCCAUGUUCUGAUAUAUCCGGUUACAUAAACUGUUUCUUUAUAAUUAAUUUUAUCUGUUGCUGUUUAAUCUCUUGCCCUGCCUCUAAGGAGCAGGGAGAACAGUGUGCCUCAGGGAUGGUCUCCUCUGGACACUGUCCAGCUGCUAGCGUGGCCACAGAGUUCUUGUUUGAGCAGCCAGUCUUUCUGUCCUGUUUAUCUGCUUGGCCUUUUAUUGUGUUUUGUCUUAUUCUGUUUUCUCAAUGAUGCAUUAAACAAAAUCCUUUGUCUAUUAAGUGCAAAGGAGGAAUACUUUGGUGAGGAGAGAGUUAAAAAGCAGCCCUAACUGGUGUCCUCUAGACUUCCAUAGCACCGUGUCUGUACCUCUGUCCACCAACACUGUAGCGCCUCCACAAUGCUCAUCAGAGAGGGCUUUCCAGCAAGUGAGACAGUCAGCCUCUGUCACUAGAAGCUAUGCCCUGCUGACCAGCCAGGCAAGUAAGGAAGCUCUGUCUAAACACUGGAGCUUAGUAAGUAAAUUAGGUGAUGGCCGGGAGUCCCAAAGGACAUGCCUGUUUCUCCUAUGACCGCAGUGCAGCAUCUUCUAUCUCUCCAUGCUUCUCAAGGAAACAUACAUUUGCAAUGACAUGUUGUAGCGCCAUCUUGUGGUCAUUCCAGUUACCAACAUCCAGCUACUUCCCGGUGGUCCAUACAGCAGUCAUUGUGGCCAAAGCAGGCUCCUGGAGCUGUCUUCAUGUUUCUUUGUCCCCCUUGGUGAGGUUUUUUGAUCCGGAACUGGACCCUCAAAGCAACUGGUCUUUCACAGUUAAAAGGUCACAGGGUCCCUGCCCUCACAACCAUCUCCUUCAGAGGAAGCCACACCAGACUGCUAAGCAUGAAUUUCCGUUUCCAAAAACAAAAUAACAAAGUUUUCAGAGCCUUUAACAAUGUUACAAAGUACAAGCUUUAGAGGCAAAAUCAGUUCUUGGGUGUGAUCAAACCAAGACAAGGCCAAGAUGUGAUCGCUGGCCUCUUCCUGGGGUUUUAUCAACCUGUCUUUGAAAGGCCCUCUGUCCUGUGGGAUAAGGUCCAGUUAUCUCCCAGCCUUUGCAAGUAACUUUGAAAGAGGGUAUAGACCCGCCAUUGUCUAUAUCGGGGAUGAUUUGAGAAGGAAGGGGAGGACCCAGGAAGGAGAGGGCAUUGACCAUGGCCCACUUCCUAUGGCCCUGCAUGAUGAAGCCUGGACUUCAGCCCAUCCCCUCCCUUCCAAGUUGCCGUCUCUACUUUCUACCACUCAAACUCUUGAAUUUUAAAAACAGUAGAGCCUACUCCACUGCCCAUGAAAACACCCUUAUGCCACCAAAGACCUUGGGAAAGCAUGACAUCCCCCACCCCCACCCCCGUGUGCUUCACUAGAGUCGCUCAGCCUCUCACCCUCCUCCCUUCAUGCUCACUGCCAAGGCCCUGCCCAGCCCUGUCCAGCAAAUGACCACAUCACCUGCUUGGCUAAGGAAGGGGGGGUCACACCAAGCCAGAGCUUUGGCCCCCUCUUUUGCACCCCAUCUCUCUAGCACCUCCUCCUGUUUCCACCCUCCUCUACACGUUCUGCCUCCACCAGAUGUAUUUACAGUUUCUCAUUGUCUCCAUCUUUCAUUCUUUUCCAUCUUUAGUUUAGUUCAACUGUAUUUCUGCUGACCUUAAACUGGGCAUCCAGCGCCAUCUUAGGUUGCUAGUGGCCUCUAUCACCUUACACUGAUCAGAGCGAGCUCCUGAACUUAACCCUCAUAGUCUCACAGCUACACUUGCCCUCAGUGAGCCAGGCAGUCACUUCACAGGCCACAUUCCUACUGAGCCAGGCUGCCAUCUUACUCAGGAGUUAUUACUGAUCCAAACAUUCCCUUUGUUAGAUUCUUUGAAGCACGUUCAUCCUUGUGUGUCCAACACGCAGCAGGGGCCUGGGAGCCAAAGAGACAUGAGAUAUUUGCUUCACCCCUUGCAUUUCUAAAUAACUACAUUACCUAUCAAGGAUGGGGGUGGUACACGAAGCUAAAUAAAUCUUGAAUAAAAAUAUACACCUUUGCCAGAAAUCCAGAGUUAUUCAGGAUAAUCCUGUUCUUCAUCUGACGAGAUGGCACUUACUUCCUACUAACACUGACCGGCUGUGGGAAAGCCAUGCAUAUUUUUUUUCCCAUUUUCCUGACAGUGUGAUAGACUGAGCGGAGCCUGCCAACCUGACGCCAGUGCAAAUUAAACUCACAUCUUGAUUGUCUCGGCUACAUUCUAUGUGGUAUAGGAGGGAAAAUGAAUAAAUCAACUCAACCGGUGGACAAACGUCUAUUGUUGCUGGGUAACAAGCUGUAAGAUGCUGAAUGGCCAAACUCCAAGCAGGACGGCCAGUGUUAUCAGAAGAAUUCCUACUUUAAACUGAUGAAGUUCACUACAGCAGCAUUUAUCCAUCUAACCCAGCAGCUCAGCAUUCUACUACGGUACUGGUUAGUUUAUGUCAACUUAAUACAUAUUAGAAACUUCUUGGAAGAGGGAACCUCUAUUGGGGAAUUAUCUUUAUUAGAUUGGUCAUUGGCUAAGUCUCUCUCUCUCUCUGCCUCUCUCUGCUUUCCUUCCUUCCUCUAUCUCCCUCCCUCCCUCCCUCCCUCCCUCCCUCCCUCCCUCCCUCCCUUCUUUCUUUCUUUCUUUCUUUCUUUCUUUCUUUCUUUCUUUCUUUCUUUCUUUCUUUCUUUCUUUCUUUCUUUCUUUCUUUCUUUCUUUCUUUCUUCCCUAAUGAUUGGUGUGGGAGGGUGCCCAGCUCACUGUGGAUGGUGCUAACUGCUAACCUUGGGUCUAGGCUGUAUAUGAAAGCAAACCUAGCAAGCCAAUGAACACCAUUCCACUAUGGUAUCUGUUUCAGUUCAUGCCUCAGGGUUUUUGUUGUUUUUGUUUAUUUGUUUGUUUGUUUUUGCUUUUUGGUAUUUUAAAAAAUCAUUAGUAUUAAUUAGUUAGUAUACAAAGUAAAGGCUUCCUUAUGACAUUUUCGGUUUCUUCUUCUUUCUUCUUCUUCUUCUUCUUCUUCUUCUUCUCCUUCUCCUUCUCCUUCUCCUUCUCCUUCUCCUUCUCCUUCUCCUUCUCCUUCUCCUCCUCCUCCUCCUCCUCCUCCUCCUCCUCCUCCUCCUCCUUUUUUUUUUUUUUUUUUUGGACCUGGCUGUUCUGGAACUCACUUUGUAGUCCAUGCUGGCCUUGAACUCAGAAAUCUGCCUGUCUCUGCCUCCUGAGUGCUGGGACUAAAGGCAUGCACCUUCACACCUGGCUCUUAUGACAUUUUCAUGCGCAUAUAAUUCUACUUUGCUCUUACUUUAUGUUCCCAAUAUCUUCUUUUAUUUUUCUCUAAUAAUUUAUUUAUUUUAUUCACUUUACAUCCUGACUGACAGCCCACCCUCCCUUCUCUCUUUCCAGUACAACCCUCAUUGCUCCCUCCCCUUCUCCUCAGAGAACUGGGAGCACCCUUGGGUGCCUCCCCACCCUGGGACAUCUGGUCCCAGCAGGAUUACUGCCUCCAGGUUCCUGUGUUGAGCUCCUGAUCUGUUUUCUCUAGAUGGUGAGCUGUAACCUGUAAGCCAGACAAACUACUUCCUCCCCAAGUUGGUUUUUAGUCUGCAUCUUAUCAUAGCUACAGGAAAGCCAGCCAGGACUGUUACAUAACCCCACAACAGCUGUCUGUAGGAGGUGACCUUAAGGGUGAGACUUGGACCUCAGAGCAGAAGGGAUUUAAGAAGUUU
rnacentral:lncRNA from 1 species